GACGAGGGGUCCAAGCGUUGUUCGGAAUCAUUGGGCGUAAAGAGCUCGUAGGCGGCUUGUCGCGUCGGAUGUGAAAGCCCGGGGCUUAACUCCGGGUCUGCAUUCGAUACGGGCAGGCUAGAGUGUGGUAGGGGAGAUCGGAAUUCCUGGUGUAGCGGUGAAAUGCGCAGAUAUCAGGAGGAACACCGGUGGCGAAGGCGGAUCUCUGGGCCAUUACUGACGCUGAGGAGCGAAAGCGUGGGGAGCGAACAGG
rnacentral:rRNA from 1 species